rnacentral:tRNA from 1 species
GCCGCCGUAGCUCAGGGGUAGAGCACCUUCUUGGUAAGGAGGGGGCCGGAGGUUCGAUUCCUCCCGGCGGCACCA